GACGUAGGUGGCGAGCGUUGUCCGGAAUUACUGGGCGUAAAGGGCGUGUAGGCGGCCUGUUAAGUCAGACGUGAAAUCCCUGGGCUUAACCUUGGGACUGCGUUUGAUACUGAUGGGCUUGAGGACAGGAGAGGAAAGCGGAACUCCGUGUGUAGCGGUGAAAUGCGUAGAUAUACGGAAGAACACCAGUGGCGAAGGCGGCUUUCUGGACUGUCCCUGACGCUGAGGCGCGAAAGCCAGGGGAG
rnacentral:rRNA from 1 species